rnacentral:tRNA from 1 species
GGAUGCAAUGCCGAAACUGGUAUCGGUGCCGGACUGUAACCCCGGUUCCCCAAGGGGAGUGAAGGUUCGAGCCCUUCUGCAUCCACCA